GCAGACGUAGUUUAACAGGCCAAAACCUGUCGGUUGCCCCCCGACAAGAUGCGGGUCCGAAUCCCGUCGUCUGCU
rnacentral:tRNA from 1 species